UGCAGUCGACGAAGUAGCAAUACUUAGUGGCAGACGGGUGAGUAACAUGUGGGUAUCUUCCCUUUGGCCUGGAAUAACACGAGGAAACUUGUGCUAAUACCGGAUAAGUCUUUACGGAGAAAGCUUUAUGCACCAUUGGAUGAGCCCGCACUUGAUUAGUUUGUUGGUGGGGUAAUGGCCUACCAAGACAAUGAUCAAUAGCUGAUUUGAGAGGAUGAUCAGCCACAUUGGGACUGAGACACGGCCCAAACUCCUACGGGAGGCAGCAGUGGGGAAUCUUGCACAAUGGAGGAAACUCUGAUGCAGCGAUGCCGCGUGAGUGAAGAAGGCCUUUGGGUUGUAAAGCUCUUUCGUCGGGGAAGAAAAUGACUGUACCCGAAUAAGAAGGUCCGGCUAACUUCGUGCCAGCAGCCGCGGUAAUACGUAGGGUGCGAGCGUUGUUCGGAAUUACUGGGCGUAAAGGGCGUGCAGGCGGAUUGGUAAGCCGGAGGUGAAAGCCCGGGGCUCAACCCCGGAGGGUCUUUCGGAACUGCCAGUCUUGAGAGGGUCAGGGGCCAGCGGAAUUCCUGGUGUAGAGGUGAAAUUCGUAGAGAUCAGGAGGAACACCGGCGGCGAAAGCGGCUGGCUGGGGCCACUCUGACGCUGAGGCGCGAAAGCGUGGGGAGCAAACAGGAUUAGAUACCCUGGU
rnacentral:rRNA from 1 species